UACAGAGGUCCCAAGCGUUGUUCGGAUUCACUGGGCGUAAAGGGUGCGUAGGUGGCCAGGUAAGUUCGGUGUGGAAGCUCGGAGCUUAACUCCGAAAUGGCAUUGAAUACUAUCUGGCUAGAGGGUCGGAGGGGAGACUGGAAUUCUCGGUGUAGCAGUGAAAUGCGUAGAUAUCGAGAGGAACACCAGUGGCGAAGGCGAGUCUCUGGACGACUCCUGACACUGAGGCACGAAAGCCAGGGGAGCAAACAGG
rnacentral:rRNA from 1 species